CAAUGCAAAUUCUGAGAAUUGGAUGAUUGUCGGGAGGAAGAGAGGCCAUGUAUCACUCUCAACAAAGCAAGGUGCCCGUUCUUCCAAGGUUGAAGCUUACAACAAUCAUUUCAUUCUUCUAUGGCCACUACGGAGGUGAUGAAAUCUUGGAG